AGUGCAACCGGUCAAGUUAAAGCAAACAGAUGGCAUAUGCACAGACAAACGUGCAUAUUUACAAGCACAUGCAUAUAAAAACAUGCAUACUGUUAUGUGAACGCAUAUGCAACUUUUCCAUUUACAGUAUUUCAGACCCUAUUUAGUGUCUUUUUUUCUUAUAGAUCUGAAGACAAACACAGAUGCACAUUUCUUUAUCUCACAGCUAAUUGAUAUUAUGUCUCUCUCAGGGGCCUCCCGGGCCUGCAGGGCCACCAGGACCAGCGGUAAACAAUCUGUUCAAAUUUAUAUCACUUUCAAAUGAGACAGACACUCACAGAACACAAUUAAGUGACAUGUCAUGCUUGAUAUUCAGGGUUUGGGAGGACCUCCAGGAGUGAGCGGACCACAGGGACCCCCGGGGCACAAUGGUUUACCAGGAAGACCUGGAGAGAAGGGCACCCCUGGAGAACCAGGAAAAGCUGCAGACAUUUCUGAUCUGAACCUGAAGGUAACAGCCAUCCAUCCGUCCAGUCAUCAAACCAUCCAUCCAUCCAUCCAUCCAUCCAUCCAUCCAUCCGACCAGUCAUCCAUCCAUCCAUCCAUCCAUCCAUCCAUCCAUAAAUGGAAUUGGAAACUAACGUGAGUUUAAUGAAUGGAAUAUUAAAUAUCUGGUGGCUUUGGCAGGGUCCUCCAGGACCAACAGGGCCUGCAGGACCACCUGGUGCUGAAGGAGCCAAGGGGGUCAAAGGUGACAGAGGUCCUGCAGGAGCACCUGGAGAUAAAGGUGAAAAGGGCCCCCCAGGACCUCCUGGUUAUCCAGGAGCGGCGGGAGCUAUGGGUCAACCUGUGAGUAUUUUAAAAUACCACUUUUAUAAAAGAACACGUUCAGCUUGUAUAGGUAUACUUAAAAACCUUACAUUUUUGCUGUAUCUGUAGGGUAAUGAUGGAAACCCUGGACCUAUUGGACCACCUGGAGCUCCUGGAGAAAAGGGAAAAGAAGGGCUUCAGGGAAUUCAGGGAC
rnacentral:lncRNA from 1 species